GGUCUGGACUGUAUGGCAGGUACUACGUGUUACUCACCCGUCCGCCACUCGUUGGCGACCAAAAUCAAUCAGGUGCAAGCACCAUCAAUCAAUUGGGCCAACGCGUUCGACUUGCAUGUAUUAGGCACACCGCCGGCGUUCAUCCUGAGCCAUGUUCAAACUCUGA
rnacentral:rRNA from 1 species